CCACUACUACUGAGACAACACUCCCUGUCAUUGACCUCUCUCUUUUACACCAACCUUCCCUUAGAUCCCGUGCAAUCCAUGAUAUCAAAAUUGCCUGCAAGGAUUUUGGUUUCUUUCAGGUAUAUAUCCAACUAGUUUAAUGUUUCUGCAUUUAAUUCAUCCAAAUCAUGUCUCACUUUCAUCAAAUUUCGGUCUAAAUAUGUUCCCAUGUUUUGUCACUAGCCCUAGAGCCAACUUAUCGCAUGCAGCUAACCAAUCACACUUACGAUAUCACUUAGAAAGACGGCUACUGUCUUUUUGCAUUUAUGUCAUGUGGAACAAACUCCUUGAUCAGGGAAAAGAAGAAUAGAAAAGACAAAAUCCUCAAUCUCAGACUUAAAUGACAACACAUAUAUAGUGCAUGCAUGCAUGUUUUCUCUACUUAAAAGCCAUCUUAUUCUUUACAGAACUAAGAGAUAAAGCCCUAGCUUUUUACUUCCCUACAGGUUAUAAACCAUGGAAUACCAUCAUCAGUGGUUAAAGAUGCCCUAGACGCAGCAACAUUGUUCUUUGACUUACCUGUUGAGGAGAAGAUGCGUCUUGUGUCUGCAAAUGUUCAUGAGCCAGUAAGGUAUGGUACAAGCCUUAACCAUUCAACAGACAGAGUUCACUACUGGAGAGAUUUCAUCAAGCAUUACUCUCAUCCCCUCCCAAAGUGGAUCGAUAUGUGGCCAUCAAAUCCUCCAUGCUACAAGUAAGUUAAACAUAAUAAGCCUAGCUUCACUAUCUCAAUAUAUACGAAACCUAGCUCUUUCUCUCUCUCUCUCUCUCUAAAGACUUGUAAGAAUCUUUGAGUUAAAAACUGAUAAUAUAUUUCAGAGAAAAAGUGGGCAAGUAUGCAGAGGCAACACAUGUACUACAUAAGCAAUUGAUAGAAGCUAUCGCAGAAAGCCUUGGACUGGAGAAAAAUUACUUACAAGAAGAGAUUGAAGAAGGGUCACAAGUCAUGGCAGUGAACUGCUAUCCAGCAUGUCCAGAACCUGAAAUUGCCUUGGGAAUGCCACCACACUC
rnacentral:lncRNA from 1 species